UUGCCAGAGUGGACAACUAAUUUAUGAAUCCGGUCAGGUCUGAAAGGAAGCAGCCGCAAUAAACUUAUGUUGGGUCGCUCUGGUUUUUU
rnacentral:SRP_RNA from 1 species